UCCGGCCGCCGCCCCACACGUUCUCUCUCGGCUCCGGCCGCUGCCCCCACCUACUCCCUCGGCUCCGGCCGCCGCUCCCCACCUUCUCCCUCGGAUCCGGCCGCCGCUCCCCACCUUCUCCCUCGGUUCCGGCCACCGCUCCCCACCUUCUCCCUUGGAUCCGGCCACCGCCCCACACUCCAACCACAGAUCGAGCUGUGGCUGUUGCCUUGCCCCAGAUCAUGCCGCCCAAAACCAUCCAUCGCCACGAGGGCCACCUGAACGACAUCCUUCCCGCGCCGCCGCUAUCUCUCCUUUCUCCGCCUUGCUCCAGCCAAGCACCUCCUCACCUCCAUUGAUGUUCAACACUUCGUCCUGUUCAUCCCAUGCCGGCUGCGCUCGUGGCCGAGCUCACUCCAAUCCCUCCACCAUGCUACCUCCUUCCGAUGGUGAGGCUUCAUCACUGCAACACCCCGACUAUUCACUGUCACCACCCCGGGCCGUUCAACGAGACGGCGCCAAGUCGUUCGAUGCUGCAACUCAGGAGUCUACCUCCUUUGACAGCUCCUGAUCUCCGGAACAGCCAUGGCUCCCUGCCGGCACAAAUCGCCAUCGACGACCUCCUUUGAUAGCUUGCCUCUGAGGCCCACCAGACCCACACAGACGAUGCUGGAUGUCCACAGCCACCAGCACAGGCCGUUCACACUCACCACUCAUGGCCGUUCUCAAAACCAUCCCAAAGUGUAGAUCGUACAUGAGGACAUGGCCGAGGGCCGUUCACUGUCGCCACCCCGGGCCGUUCAACGAGACAGCAAGCACAUGUUUCCAGAAUCGAGCAGUAAAAGGGUACUGUCGGAGAUAAGUAGUAAGCGGCAAAAUGUUUUGAGGCAGCAGCAAGACGAGGCAUAAAAGCUGGCGAGCAGUAUAAACAUUUGCUAUGGAGCAGUACACAUAUUUAAACUCCUCAUCCCGGUGAGUGGUCCGACACCGCCAGCCGAGGCCGUCCACCAACCCCGCCAGCCGAGGCCGUUCACCAUCGCCUCAGUGUGAGUUCAUUGUUGAGAACAAGCGUGGCCACCUACUGUUCGCGGUAGUCGCCUUGGCCGCCCUCGGCCACGAGCUCAUCCACAAUGGUUACUGGCAUCCGUUCAAGUGGAGCGCGGGGAACAGUCCAAGCUGAAAUCAUGGCCACCAUCUUCACCAUGCACGGGGAUUUUGUAGCAAUUUGCAAAAAAAGCUUUACACAUUUUCAGUUUAUGAAAAGCUAAUAAGUUCAGACUCUGGAAGCAGAGAUUGUCGUUUGUUAAAGGUCUGGUGUUUAGUUAGCGGUUAUGUGGUAUCUACACCGGCACUUUUUGUCAAGACCUCAAGAAGAGAUAUCAUCUCAAGGUGAAAAAAUACAAAAUCCUUUUACUGCUCUCUUUCUUCUCUCACUCAUUCAUCUUAUUAUAUGCACACAAAUUCAUGUCAUCCUGAAUUUGUUACACUGGUGCGGGAGCAAAAAACAGAUGCACAAGUUCAUCUUCAGUGACACACUCGGUUCAAAUUCUAAUUUUAGUUAGUGCAAUUCUUUUUUUAGUUCAAUGCCGAUUUCUGACUUCCUCAGCCAUCACCUCCACCUCGUGUAAGUACGUUGCCGAGAACAAGCAUGACCACCUACAGUUCCCGAUGGUCGCCUUGGCUGCCCUCGGCCACAAGCUCGUCCACCAUGGUUACUCGCAACCGUCCAAGUGGAGCACGGACAUCAGUACAAGUAGAAUUGAAGCCACCAUCUUCACCAAGCUUUGCACAGCCGUCCAAGUUGAGCACACAUAACAGUCCAAGGUGAUGCAUGGUCACUAAUGGAUUCAACAUAUUUUAUUAGUUUGAAUUCUGCAUGUCUCAAUUCUGUGGAUGCUUACCGCUCUCUGAAAUGGCGAUGGUGUACAAUACAAAAAUCUGAAUGCUCACACUUGCUACUUGCUAUAUCUGAUACUAGGCUUUUUUCCAAUAUGCUACUUGCUACUUGUAGUUGUCAUGGGUGCUGGAUGGACAGGCUGUUUUUGUUAAUAUGAUAUUAGUCAAUUACUUUUACAGACCUCUUAUUGGAAUUGGGGCUGCAACUAAAGUAGCAAAAAUAUGAUGUAUUUCAAAUAUCAUGAUGAAAACAAGGAACCUAACAACUCUUCAUCUCAAGGUGACUAGUUUCUGAACCUAUUAUCUAAAACUAAAAUGAACCAUGGAAGUAGAACAAGUAAUUAUCAGUCUUGGCUGGGCAUGGAACUGAUUUCCCCUGGUCUUGGAACUGAUUUCAAGAGUAAAUUAUGGAAAAAAUUAACAAGUACUCAAGUCCAACUUGCAAACCAGUAUCAGUUCUAUAGUGCAAGCAUGCAUCAAAUUUCAAAAGCGAACCUGACUUAUAUAUAAAAUGUCUUGAUGCAUGCUAUUAGAAAUCUAAAAAUAAACUCAGUACAGUUCCUAUAUUUUUAGUACAUGUUCUACUGUAAAUUAAUAUGUGUUCUACUGUAACUUUUUUAAAAACAGUAUAUGUUCUACUGUAAAAAAACAUACAUAAAAUGUCUUGAUGCAUGCUAGCAGAAAUCUAAAAAUAUACUUAGUACAGCUCCUAUAUUUUAUUUUAGUUCAAUUUCAAACUCUAAUUCAGUUCAAUUCUGGUUUUAUUAAACUUGCUAUGGAGUUGCCGUAUUCCUAAUGCUGGAGAAUUGGCUAAACCCAACCCGCAACUCCGUUUGCUCACAUGGAAGUCCAUGGUUUUGCAAAGAAGCAUGGUUUUACAAUCUUCCAAAGGGAUGCAAGGAAGGGAUGAAAAGAAGUUGGGGCACAAUUCUUGUAUAAUUGCACCAUGGAGCGCGUGGUCCUUAGUUAAAACAAACACAAAACAAUUUCUAGUCAUGCCAAAACAUCGAUCUCCCGUCACCCAUCGUCACAUUAGUGCAAGCAGCGAAGAGUUGUCUGUCCACCGAAUCAAUAGGUACUUUUGUUCCAUGGUCUGCCAGUGGUGUCUUACUCGAGCCAGGGCCACCGUAGAUGCAAAGCAUGGAUGUAAGCUGUGAUAUCCUUGAUUCCUAGCCCACCCCUGGACUUUGGCGCACAAAUCCGUUUCCAGUUGACCAACAUUUUCCACCAUACGCCUCAUCCUCAAUAUUCCAAAGGAAUUUUCUUCUAAGUUUGUCAAUCUUCUUGAUCGCCCAUUUAUCUAGCUCAAAGGCAGUCAUGAAGUAAGAGUGGAAGUGUCAUCCAUCAGUUUGUUUUACCUGUUAUCUUUGGGCUAUGGAGUAUAAUUUCAGCUUGGUCCUCUUGAAGGCUCUCAUUGGUCUAAAACUAGUAACAAUCCACCGAUGUCAUCCAUUAGCAAUUGCACGGGUUCAUUUAUGAGAAAACAUUAUGACUACCAGCAGGAUCAACCAAGUAGCACAUGCAUCUUCGUUGGUGGUGCUUCCAAGUGCAUGGCAAGGCUGAGGCAAUAGGCAAGCCAGUUUAUCACGAUUGAGCGGCCUAGUGUGGAUACAUGAGGCGACAGAAAUAUGCUGAUUGUUCUUAAUUGGGAGGGCUUUGGGGGCGAGGCAACCAAAAAGGCUACAAGUGUUUAUCGUGAGCAACAUUCAAGGCUAACAAGGGGAUGGACCGCCUGGUAUCACCAAGCACAUAACAUGCCUACACCACGAGGCAAUGCCGCAACUAUUGUUUGGCCACAGCAGCACAUCUGGAGGUCAUUAAGCUUCUGCAAGCACAAGUAGCGUGGGAUCACCGACUCAAAUCAUCGUACUAGACCCGAGCAAUUGGUCACCACAAAGAAGCUAGCGUAAGGUCGCCAAGUCAUUCAAAAAGAACAGACCAAACAUCACCUAGAAAGACACACAGAGAUCACUCGGAGAUUUCGGCACGUGACAUAUACACCCAGCAGAGAUGGCAGAGCAGGAAAUGUUUUUUAAUCACACUGCACCAAGGAAAAGAUGUAUUUUUAACUGCCAAAUAAGUUGGUUGUGGCAAUAAUAUCCAGCUUGUUCGCCCAAGAAAUGUAUUUGUUGCGACAAGUAGGAUCGUUUUUACAUGCUCCAGCAAAGUCAUUGCAGCCAAGAUUCCCCUCCAUGAUUUUCGUUGGAGGAGCUGUGUUCCUUAACAAUGUCUAGUUCGCAUACGAAUUAGCUUGAUUGUUCACCAGUUUCAAUUGGCGGCACCAAACAAAUUUUUCGGUUGUGGCCUAGUCCCUAGUCCUCGGACCGA